GGGGGUGCCUUAAUACAUGCAGUAGAACGCUGAAGAGAGGAGCUUGCUCUUCUUGGAUGAGUUGCGAACGGGUGAGUAACGCGUAGGUAACCUGCCUUGUAGCGGGGGAUAACUAUUGGAAACGAUAGCUAAUACCGCAUAACAAUGGAUGACACAUGUCAUUUAUUUGAAAGGGGCAAUUGCUCCACUACAAGAUGGACCUGCGUUGUAUUAGCUAGUAGGUGAGGUAACGGCUCACCUAGGCGACGAUACAUAGCCGACCUGAGAGGGUGAUCGGCCACACUGGGACUGAGACACGGCCCAGACUCCUACGGGAGGCAGCAGUAGGGAAUCUUCGGCAAUGGGGGCAACCCUGACCGAGCAACGCCGCGUGAGUGAAGAAGGUUUUCGGAUCGUAAAGCUCUGUUGUAAGUCAAGAACGAGUGUGAGAGUGGAAAGUUCACACUGUGACGGUAGCUUACCAGAAAGGGACGGCUAACUACGUGCCAGCAGCCGCGGUAAUACGUAGGUCCCGAGCGUUGUCCGGAUUUAUUGGGCGUAAAGCGAGCGCAGGCGGUUUGAUAAGUCUGAAGUUAAAGGCUGUGGCUCAACCAUAGUUCGCUUUGGAAACUGUCAAACUUGAGUGCAGAAGGGGAGAGUGGAAUUCCAUGUGUAGCGGUGAAAUGCGUAGAUAUAUGGAGGAACACCGGUGGCGAAAGCGGCUCUCUGGUCUGUAACUGACGCUGAGGCUCGAAAGCGUGGGGAGCGAACAGGAUUAGAUACCCUGGUAGUCCACGCCGUAAACGAUGAGUGCUAGGUGUUGGAUCCUUUCCGGGAUUCAGUGCCGCAGCUAACGCAUUAAGCACUCCGCCUGGGGAGUACGACCGCAAGGUUGAAACUCAAAGGAAUUGACGGGGGCCCGCACAAGCGGUGGAGCAUGUGGUUUAAUUCGAAGCAACGCGAAGAACCUUACCAGGUCUUGACAUCCCGAUGCUAUUUCUAGAGAUAGAAAGUUACUUCGGUACAUCGGUGACAGGUGGUGCAUGGUUGUCGUCAGCUCGUGUCGUGAGAUGUUGGGUUAAGUCCCGCAACGAGCGCAACCCCUAUUGUUAGUUGCCAUCAUUCAGUUGGGCACUCUAGCGAGACUGCCGGUAAUAAACCGGAGGAAGGUGGGGAUGACGUCAAAUCAUCAUGCCCCUUAUGACCUGGGCUACACACGUGCUACAAUGGUUGGUACAACGAGUUGCGAGUCGGUGACGGCAAGCUAAUCUCUUAAAGCCAAUCUCAGUUCGGAUUGUAGGCUGCAACUCGCCUACAUGAAGUCGGAAUCGCUAGUAAUCGCGGAUCAGCACGCCGCGGUGAAUACGUUCCCGGGCCUUGUACACACCGCCCGUCACACCACGAGAGUUUGUAACACCCGAAGUCGGUGAGGUAACCUUUGGAGCCAGCCCGCCUAAAAGGGGGG
rnacentral:rRNA from 1 species